UACGGAGGGUCCGAGCGUUAUCCGGAAUCAUUGGGUUUAAAGGGUCCGCAGGCGGUCAAUUAAGUCAGAGGUGAAAUCCCAUAGCUUAACUAUGGAACUGCCUUUGAUACUGGUUGACUUGAGUCAUAUGGAAGUAGAUAGAAUGUGUAGUGUAGCGGUGAAAUGCAUAGAUAUUACACAGAAUACCGAUUGCGAAGGCAGUCUACUGCGUAUGUACUGACGCUCAUGGACGAAAGCGUGGGGAGCGAACAGG
rnacentral:rRNA from 1 species